GUACUUAACUCGUAUACAGACUGUAAGUGACGUCAUUAAAUUAAUAAAUUAAUAAAUAAUUAUUUUAUGAUCACGAAUGUGCCGCAUGUUAUCGGUAAAUAAAUCGAGUGUUGCAUUAACGUAGUCUACAGAAUUCUGUAACCCAGAAGAAAAUUGGCAUUUAUAAAAUUCAGAUUUUGCGACAGAAAUACUUUUAAUAUUUCGUUUGUUGGUACGAGAGGCGAGGAGUCGGGGGAAAGAAGAAGGAACAAAAAAAAAAAAAAAAAAAACUGAAGUCGAAAACGCUUAUCCUACCUUAAACGGCUUAAAAACGGAGUUGUUUACGUCACAUUUCUUACAAGAUAGUGACAUGAAAGGAAUGGUGACGUCACAGAACUCCUUUAGGGUCUGCAGCCAACAAACAAUUAUAGCACCCCUAUACCAUCUGGUACGGCGACAGACAGUCAAGAACAUAAAUAGUAUCAGUCGAUAUUUGCGUGAUCGAGAACUUGCCUUCCUCUGCACAAUUUUGUUUGCCGACAUGAACGAAAAAAAAAAGAAAAAAAAAUUUUUU
rnacentral:lncRNA from 1 species